rnacentral:rRNA from 1 species
AUGAUCACACUAGUGAAGCUCAAAAGUGUUGACUGCAUGUGGGCUGGUAGGGUGGGGUGGGGUGGGGGAUGGGGGGCUGUCCUGAGAUACUGCAGCACAUAUCCUUGCCCCUUCUAUAUAAACCAAGAUUUGCACCACCGCAUCCCAUCAUACAUACCAGCAUCAUCUCAAGAGGAGGGCCCUGACCUGACCCUGAACCUAAACCUCUCGCAUUGCUCCCGGUCUGGUGGAUGCCAUGGAGCAGGGGAAGAAGAAGCAUAUGGGCAAGCUGCAGAAGGUCCUGAGGGAGCAGAAGGCCCGGCUCUACAUCAUCCGCCACUGCGUCGUCAUGCUUCUCUGCUGGAGUGA